rnacentral:rRNA from 1 species
CGCGUAGGCGGACCAUCAAGUCGGAUGUGAAAACUGGCGGCUCAACUGCCAGCCUGCAUUCGAUACUGUUGGUCUUGAGUACAGUAGGGGAAGGCGGAAUUCCAGGUGUAGCGGUGAAAUGCGUAGAUAUCUGGAAGAACACCAGUAGCGAAGGCGGCUUUCUGGACUGAUACUGACGCUGAAGCGCGAAGGCCAGGGGAGCAAACA